rnacentral:rRNA from 1 species
ACCAACGCUGGCGGCAGGCCUAACACAUGCAAGUCGAACGGAUCCUUCGGGAUUAGUGGCAGACGGGUGAGUAACGCGUGGGAAGCUACCUUGUGGUAGGGAACAACAGUUGGAAACGACUGCUAAUACCCUAUGAGCCCUAUGGGGGAAAGAUUUAUCGCCAUGAGAUGUGCCCGCGUUAGAUUAGCUAGUUGGUAAGGUAAUGGCUUACCAAGGCGACGAUCUAUAGCUGGUCUGAGAGGAUGAUCAGCCACACUGGGACUGAGACACGGCCCAGACUCCUACGGGAGGCAGCAGUGGGGAAUAUUGGACAAUGGGGGCAACCCUGAUCCAGCCAUGCCGCGUGUGUGAUGACGGCCUUAGGGUUGUAAAGCACUUUCAGCAGUGAAGAUAAUGACAUUAACUGCAGAAGAAGCCCCGGCUAACUUCGUGCCAGCAGCCGCGGUAAUACGAAGGGGGCUAGCGUUGUUCGGAAUCACUGGGCGUAAAGCGUACGUAGGCGGACUGAUCAGUCAGGGGUGAAAUCCCGGGGCUCAACCCCGGAACUGCCUUUGAUACUGUCAGUCUUGAGAUCGAGAGAGGUGAGUGGAACUCCGAGUGUAGAGGUGAAAUUCGUAGAUAUUCGGAAGAACACCAGUGGCGAAGGCGGCUCACUGGCUCGAUACUGACGCUGAGGUACGAAAGCGUGGGGAGCAAACAGGAUUAGAUACCCUG